AUGCCGGUUUGUGACAGAAAUCGGGGCAAACAACAAGCGGCCUCCCUGGUCUUUCCUGGAACUAGAGAGAGGAUGGAGAUGGAGAGGAAAGAGAGGGUAAGAAAAGCUGAGGCGUUGGUUGAGAAAGCAAUGAAAGGGAAUGAUGCUUCUCACGAUGCAGUGCAUGUUUGGAGGGUUCGUGACCUUGCUCUCUCCCUUGCCUCUGAGGAAGGCCUCUCUUCUGAUGUUUAA